GACGAACGCUGGCGGCGUGCUUAACACAUGCAAGUCGAACGGAAAGGCCCUGCUUUUGUGGGGUGCUCGAGUGGCGAACGGGUGAGUAACACGUGAGUAACCUGCCCUUUACUUUGGGAUAACUUCAGGAAACUGGGGCUAAUACCGGAUAUGAUCUCCUGCUGCAUGGUGGGGGUUGGAAAGUUUCGGCGGUUGGGGAUGGACUCGCGGCUUAUCAGCUUGUUGGUGGGGUAGUGGCUUACCAAGGCUUUGACGGGUAGCCGGCCUGAGAGGGUGACCGGAGACAUUGGGACUGAGAUAAGGACCAGACUCAUACGGGAGGGAGCAGGGGGGAAUAUUGCACAAUGGGCGGAAGCCUGAUGCAGAAACGCCGCGUGCGGGAUGACGGCCUUCGGGUUGUAAACCGAUUUCGCCUGUGACGAAGCGUGAGUGACGGUAAUGGGUAAAGAAGCACCGGCUAACUACGUG
rnacentral:rRNA from 1 species